rnacentral:misc_RNA from 1 species
AUCGUGAGUCUAGAAAACUUUAUCUUGUAUGAUGAGAUUCACCUAUUACACGGUAAACAGAGUCUAAACAUAAAUAUUUCAAUGAAAAACUAAAUUCAUCAUACAUAUAGUUUCUCUCCCCUUAAUUUGCUCAGCUGAUCUAUUAUUCCUAGCAUCAUAAAAAAUUAAAUUAAAAAAAAAUGAAUGAAACUAGAAAUUAACUACUGUACUCCAUUCCUCUUUUCAGUCUUACCAGUACCCAUUCCUCUUCCUGCAGCCAAUAUUUUAAGAUAAAAAUGUUAGCAAAUGCAACAACUAAUUCUUACUAUCAAAUUAAUAAUAUUUUUUCUCCAUACAUUCCAAAAAGAAUUCAAAAUUAAAAAUUGUCAUAAUUCAUAUAUAUCCUUAAAAAUUGUCAUUAUUCACAUGCUCUUAAGCUUAAGGUUUUAUACAAGGAGGUGAAUGAUCAGCUUAUGGCAUGGUGUGUUGGGAAAGAAGCAUGUUACUGGUCUUGCUGUAAUCACCUGGAAACUGUGAGCAGUUUGACAUUGAGAGGGUAAUCGGUACUCAUCCAUCUUCCAAUGUGUUUUCCUAGCGUUAGGAAAGAUUCCUGAGAAAUAAGUAAACUGAAACUUGGAGGCAAAAACAUUUCCAUCUAAGUUGCAUAUGGAUUUUUCUUGCCCAGUUGAUUUCCAAAACCCUAUCUUAUCUCCAACGAUUCUAUUUGGAUUAUUUUCUACAAGAAAGUCUUCAUCUUCAUGAAGAAAGAAAUACCACUCCCUUUCUCCACAGGAGUAAUUCACAAUACUGUUAGGAGCCUUGCUAUAGAACUCCCUGGAAUCAAUGUCCUGAGCAACAUGGGCAGGAAGAGGCCUGUAAAACACCUUGUUACUCAAAUAGUGAGUGACCAGUUCUUCAUCAGUGGGCAAAAAUCUGUACCCUAUUGGGAAUUCUGUGAGAAUUUCACUUUGGCAAUCCGUAUAUGAUGAUUGAAAAUCCAACAUGUGUGCUUGCUCCUGCAGGUUCUUAAUGAUCAAUCUGAAUGUGUGGCACAGGAGCUGAUCAUCUCAUGUCAUUAUAUACGGAAAAAAAAUUGCAUUAUCGUAACGCAUUUUGAAAGUGAAGUGGAAUCCUAGUAUAACUUG